rnacentral:rRNA from 1 species
UACGUAGGCAGCGAGCGUUGUUCGGAGUUACUGGGCGUAAAGAGUGCGUAGGCGGUUUUCUAAGUUUGGUGUGAAAUCUCCCGGCUUAACUGGGAGGGUGCGCCGAAGACUGGAAGGCUUGAGUAUGGGAGAGGUAAGCGGAAUUCCUGGUGUAGCGGUGAAAUGCGUAGAUAUCAGGAGGAACACCGGUGGCGAAGGCGGAUCUCUGGGCCUUACCUGACGCUGAGGCGCGAAAGCUAGGGGAGCGAACAGG